AACAUGCUGGAGAGAAACCUUAUGAAUGUAAUCAAUGUGGUAAAGCCUUUCCUUCUCAUAACCUUCUUCAUAUACAUAAAAGAACGCAUACUGGAGAGAAACCCUAUGAGUGUAAUCAAUGUGGUAAAACCUUUGCAUAUCACAGUCAUCUUCAAGUGCAUGGAAGAAUUCAUACAGGAGAGAAACCUUAUAAAUGUAAUCAAUGUGGUAAAGCCUUUGCAUGUCACAGAAAUCUCCGAGUACAUAAAAGAAAACAUACUGGAGAGAAACCCUAUGAAUUUAACCAUUAUAGUAAAGCCUUUUCACAACACAGUAGUCUUCAAGUACAUAAAAGAACACAUAUUGGAGAGAAAUCCUAUGAAUUAUAAUCAAUGUGGUAAAGCCUUUGCACACCACAGUCAUCUUCAAAGGCAUGAAAGAAAUCAUACUGAAAGGAAACCCUGUGAGUGUAUUUAAUAUGGUGAAGCCUUUGUACAUCAUCAUGAAAGAAUUUGUGCUGAAGAGAAACCUUAUGAAUAUAUUUAGUAUGGUGAAGCCUUUGCACACUAUUAUAGUCUUCAUCAUUAUUAAAGUAUUCAUACUGCUUAGAAAUUUUGUGAAUGUAAACAAUGUGGUAAAGCCUUUGUGUUAUUGGGUUUACUGAGAUCCAACACAACUCAAACUCAGGUCAGUGGAAAUGACAAGAACUUAUUGUAAUCGAGCUGCUAUUGAUUGGGGCCACAGAAAAUAUUUGGUAGCCGAACAGCAUGAAGCAGAGAGUGGGAACUAGAAAUGGUGUAUAUCCAUAUCCAUAAACACUCAAGUCCACUCCAAGUGACAUAUUUUCUCCAGCAGGUCAGCAUUUUCUAAAUCUCCCCCAAAUACUACCAACUGAAAAGGAUUGACUUUUCUGACUUCAAGCUUACAUGCUGGCUUUCUGUUACACGAGCCAAUUCAUGAUGAAGAGAAACUCUAGCCUUGAAGGAAGGAUAUUAUAGAAGGGACUACUGGGACAAUUGAUGUUGGUUAGCUGGAGCUAAGAAAUUAGCAGUGAUUAAGAAGAGACCGGAAUCAUUGAGGUGAAAUCUGGAGAAUGUUCUCUCUGCCAAGGUCAGUGACUCCAUGAUAAUUAGAAAUGGCAUGAUUCCAGGAAGCAAAAAUGUCUCUGGUGAUCCUCACCAAUAUGGUGAUACUGUGACCUUCAGGACCCCUUAAGACUGUGGGAAAGAACUCUGAAAACAUGAGUUCAACAGAUGUUCAAGAAUAUAUAAGUCAGUGUAAGAGCUGUCCUUUACAGGAUUUCUCAACUAUGCAAAAUAUAAAGAUGCAAUAUAAAUUGUAUGAGGGGCUUCACAAACCUGAAAGAACAGAGAUAGCCGCACUAAUGAAUGAGCUCUGUCAGAAAGAUACU
rnacentral:lncRNA from 1 species